UAGAUAUUUCCAUAAUGAGUGGCAGUGUUGGCCUUUGCUUACUAUGACUAAAUAUAUUUCAGGAACAUGUCGCAGGAGGACCUUGCUGCAAGAAAGACCCUGCUGCGUGUUUCUAGACUACAUUUAUAUUAAUAAUUCUGCAAGGGGCUGCCCAGAACAAACGCACCUGUGCCUGCCUGUGGUCUGAAGAAUUUGGUGAAUGGAUAAAGUGCCAAGAUUGGGCAGAGUGUGGAGGCCGUGACAGGAAAUAAGACUGCUUCUGUCUUUUCCCAUUGUUGCCUGGCCAUGAGGAACUGUUGAUGUAUCAUGAUUUGUUUUACAAAUCUGUCAACUACUUCUCUUGUUCUCUGCUCGUAGAAUCUAUGGAAAUUGAGCCUCGCCCACAAUUGAGUAAAGCAGCUGGGAGAGGGGGCACAUGGACAGCAUUACCUAAAGCAUGGUCCGUUUAUGACCAUCAUUAUCAGAAUCAGAUGAGGUAUUGUUCAUGCCUUUCAAAUUUGAUUUUGAUCUACUUUGUGUACAUAAACUAUCAACUAAAAGCCAGUCAUCUCGCAAUAAAACUUCAGCCCCAUAUGCAGGACAACUUUCUGGUUCUCACUACAGGUUCCCUGUUGGCAACAGCACAGUAAAAGGUGACCGUAAAAAGCAGAUUGGAGGUGAAAAUGUUUGACGGUGAGAAAGAAGGUCACCAGAGUGGUCACUCACGUGUCUCAGGGGAAUGCCAGAAAAGAGGAGGAGAAUGUCAGAGAGCCAGAUAUUACAAUGUUAGGUGACUGUAAGGAGACUAGAAAAUAGUAAUGAUAUGAAAACAAAAGAAAGAGGGUGAUGUAACUGAGUUGUGUCGGCUUCGAUGGAUGGAAGGCAGACAGGUUGCCCAAAGAUGUCCAUGGCCUGAAACGCAGAACCUGGGAAUAUGUGACACAACAUGGCAAAAGGAACCUUGCAGAUCAGAUCAAUGUUCAGGGGCUUAAAAUAAGUUUAGCCUGGGUUACUCAGGUGGGUGCAGUUGAGUCAUAUAAAAGUCCUUAAAAGUAGAGAACUUUCUACAGCUGGAUACAGGAAAGAUGAGGCAGAUGGGGAGAGUUAGAGAGAUUCAAAGGGGGAGAGAAGGAUUUUACCCACUAUUUCUGACUCUCAAGAUGAAGGAGGCCGCAAGCUACGGAAUGUGGAAGCCUCUGGAAGCUGAGAAUGACCCCUGGCCAUCAGCCAACCAGAAAAUAAGGACGUCAGUUCUACAGCCACAUGGAAUAAAUUCUGCCAAUGACCUAAAUGAGCCUGGAAGCAGGAUCUCCUCCAGGCUGAGACUUUUUAAUUUUGGCUUUGUCAGGCCCAAAGCAGAUAAACCAAUUUGACACCCUCAUCCCUCCACCACCCAGGACGUCUGGGCUACAGAGCUGUGAGGUAAUACAUGUGUGCUUUUGUGAAUUGCUAAAUUGUGGUUAAUCUGUUAUUGCAGCAAUAGAAACCACUACAGAAGACAGCCAGGUUGUUACAGGAGAGCUGAUGAACUCAAAGCUGGGAUGACUUGGGAGACAGGCAGCGCUGUGAAGCCUCUGCACUUGCAGGUACGGAAGUCCAAAUUCCAGCUCUGACAGUUGUGUGAUGGCACUCCGAAGACCCCACUUUGAUAAAGCUUGAUUUCCUCACUUGAUUUCCUCCUCUGCAAACUGGAAAUAAUAACAGCAUUUCCCUCGCUAGCUGUGAUGAGGCUUUAAUGAGGUCAUGGAUGUGCACAGGCCUAACAGUGCCUGGCACAGAGUCGCUGCUUUAGUAUGUUUUACGAAAACAUCACACAGUAGUCUCUUGUCCCUGAAAUCCAAGGGCAGGUGCCAUGAGCAGACUUUACUUGAGGGGAGUUAUGGAGUAGCAUCAUCAAGAGGAAAGCCAC
rnacentral:lncRNA from 1 species